rnacentral:rRNA from 1 species
UACGAAGGGGGCUAGCGUUGCUCGGAAUUACUGGGCGUAAAGCGCACGUAGGCGGCUUCUUAAGUCGGUGGUGAAAUCCUGGAGCUCAACUCCAGAACUGCCUUCGAUACUGGGAAGCUCGAGUCCGGGAGAGGUGAGUGGAACUGCGAGUGUAGAGGUGAAAUUCGUAGAUAUUCGCAAGAACACCAGUGGCGAAGGCGGCUCACUGGCCCGGUACUGACGCUGAGGUGAGAAAGCGUGGGGAGCAAACAGG